UGAAAAGGAAAGGAAAAAUUUCAUUGAUAAUCAAAGAAGCCGAACAAAAGAUAACAAAAUAACAUAACAUAUAACUAUUCAAUAUAUUCAAACUUCUGACUCAACUCAACUUUAACUUUUUAUCCUUCUCUUUUUAUCCUUUUAAUUAUCCAAAAAUGAGAGAAAAGUUUAGAAAGAACUCUUCCAUAUCGUAUGAGGAAAGUUAUUUCCUCGCGAGAGGUCAUAAUCAUUUACAUUAAGAAGUUAAAAAUAGUAAGAGGAAGAUUAAUUUUGACGUUGUGGAUAAGGAAAUACAAAAGAUGUUUGUCAUUUAAAGUAAGUGUUUCUAAUUGUUUCUCUCUUGGAAGAAGAUUUGACACUAGAAGUUGAUGCCAAAAUUUUGCAAUUGGGAUGAGAGUAGUAGGACUAAUGAAGUUAUUGUAGUUGGCAUAAAUUAGGAGAAUGUGGUUUGAGAAGACAUUAUUGAAUCUAUAUUGUUCAACAUAACUACCUUUCUCUUCACACUUUAUUGUCUGAGAAAUAAGUGAUGGAGUAAUCGUGAUAGGAUAGCCAGAUACAUUGGACUGUAUUGACUUAGCAUCCUCACCAGAUUUUCUAACUGGGCAUUUAACCAGAACUCUAUUAUGAGAUUAGUGUAGAUGAGUCCAUGAAGCAUGUCAAAUUAACCUUUCAACUUAUGUUUGGAAAUAAUUUUCAUUAGAUCAAAACCUUGGUCUUUCAACUCUUCGAAAUCAACAAACUUUUCGUUAAUAACGAACAAAAGAUUUUCAUCUUCGUUGAAGGUUUUUGUAGACAUUUUUUUAGUAAAAAGAAAAAAAAUUAAACUAUUUGAAGAGACAAAACGAUAUAAAUUCAAUGAGAAUUGAAUAGUGUAUAAAUAAAUUAGAAAAGAGAAAGUGAAACAGUCAUAGAAGCUCAAACGCCUCCUUGAAAAUCCAAAAGACAUGUUAUGUUUUGAAUAUGAAUGAUCAUUAA
rnacentral:lncRNA from 1 species